GAUGAACGCUGGCGGCGUGCCUAAUACAUGCAAGUCGAGCGAACAGACGAGGAGCUUGCUCCUCUGACGUUAGCGGCGGACGGGUGAGUAACACGUGGAUAACCUACCUAUAAGACUGGGAUAACUUCGGGAAACCGGAGCUAAUACCGGAUAAUAUAUUGAACCGCAUGGUUCAAUAGUGAAAGACGGUUUUGCUGUCACUUAUAGAUGGAUCCGCGCCGCAUUAGCUAGUUGGUAAGGUAACGGCUUACCAAGGCAACGAUGCGUAGCCGACAUGAGAGGGUGAUCGGUCACACUGGAACUGAGACACGGUCCAGACUCCUACGGGAGGCAGCAGUAGGGAAUCUUCCGCAAUGGGCGAAAGCCUGACGGAGCAACGCCGCGUGAGUGAUGAAGGUCUUCGGAUCGUAAAACUCUGUUAUUAGGGAAGAACAAAUGUGUAAGUAACUAUGCACGUCUUGACGGUACCUAAUCAGAAAGCCACGGCUAACUACGUG
rnacentral:rRNA from 1 species